UACGUAGGGUGCGAGCGUUAAUCGGAAUUACUGGGCGUAAAGCGUGCGCAGGCGGUUUUGUAAGCCAGGUGUGAAAUCCCCGGGCUCAACCUGGGAAUGGCAUUUGGGACUGCAAGGCUGGAGUGCGGCAGAGGAGACUGGAAUUCCUGGUGUAGCAGUGAAAUGCGUAGAUAUCAGGAGGAACACCGAUGGCGAAGGCAGGUCUCUGGGCCGUUGCUGACGCUGAGGCGCGACAGCGUGGGGAGCAAACAGG
rnacentral:rRNA from 1 species